rnacentral:lncRNA from 1 species
AAGAAGUUUGAUAAGUAUCUGAGAUAGCAUGAGGAAUUAAUACUGCACACAUUUUUCUUUUUUUCAGAGGUCACCAAAAGAAAUGGAGAACCUUACCUGGACUGCAUACACCUGCAUUGGAGUGUAAAAUGGAAGAUAGCAUUUUACAGACUAUCAAUAAGGUCCCUGGAGGAAAGUCUGCAGGAGGGGACCCAUCACUGCUGGGCAUUGGUUUGCAGAGAACUCCCUGUCGGUCAGCACUGUGCCCACCGUGAAGCAGGAUGUGCCAGGCAUGAGGGAGUAGGGUGAAUGGGAGCAAGGUACCCACGUGUAUGCUGGGGAGAGCACUCAAGGUGAAAACUGGACAGAACUUUUUAGAUAGAAGGAGCCUGGAGCAUGUGGCUGGAAGGAACCUCAGUCACUGUGUGCCUUUGCCAAGCCAUUUCGCUGCUUUUAAAAUCUAUCUCUUCCGAAAGAACAGGGCAGGCAUUUAUCUGUCUUUGUAGGUGUUAUCAUUAAAUUGCUG